rnacentral:ncRNA from 1 species
ACUGAUUCGAUGAAAAAGAGAGUACCUUAUAGAGUGUCAGCAAAGCGAUUUCGGGAAGGUGAAAGCCGAAAGUGACAAAUUAAGGGAAGCGCACUUUAGAGAAUCUGCACAAGCAGACGGACAUCUACCGUUAUUAGAUUAAGUGGGUCUAUCCUAAUGGAAUAGACAAUUAGAGUGGUACCGCGGGAAUAUCUCGUCUCUGGU